rnacentral:rRNA from 1 species
UAAUACAUGCAAGUCGAGCGAACAGAUAAGGAGCUUGCUCCUUUGACGUUAGCGGCGGACGGGUGAGUAACACGUGGGUAACCUACCUAUAAGACUGGGAUAACUUCGGGAAACCGGAGCUAAUACCGGAUAACAUUUGGAACCGCAUGGUUCUAAAGUGAAAGAUGGUUUUGCUAUCACUUAUAGAUGGACCCGCGCCGUAUUAGCUAGUUGGUAAGGUAACGGCUUACCAAGGCGACGAUACGUAGCCGACCUGAGAGGGUGAUCGGCCACACUGGAACUGAGACACGGUCCAGACUCCUACGGGAGGCAGCAGUAGGGAAUCUUCCGCAAUGGGCGAAAGCCUGACGGAGCAACGCCGCGUGAGUGAUGAAGGGUUUCGGCUCGUAAAACUCUGUUAUUAGGGAAGAACAAACGUGUAAGUAACUGUGCACGUCUUGACGGUACCUAAUCAGAAAGCCACGGCUAACUACGUGCCAGCAGCCGCGGUAAUACGUAGGUGGCAAGCGUUAUCCGGAAUUAUUGGGCGUAAAGCGCGCGUAGGCGGUUUCUUAAGUCUGAUGUGAAAGCCCACGGCUCAACCGUGGAGGGUCAUUGGAAACUGGGAAACUUGAGUGCAGAAGAGGAAAGUGGAAUUCCAUGUGUAGCGGUGAAAUGCGCAGAGAUAUGGAGGAACACCAGUGGCGAAGGCGACUUUCUGGUCUGUAACUGACGCUGAUGUGCGAAAGCGUGGGGAUCAAACAGGGAUUAGAUACCCUGGUAGUCCACGGCCGUAGACGAUGAGUGCUAAGUGUUAGGGGGUUUCCGCCCCUUAGUGCUGCAGCUAACGCAUUAAGCACUCCGCCUGGGGAGUACGACCGCAAGGUUGAAACUCAAAGGAAUUGACGGGGACCCGCACAAGCGGUGGAGCAUGUGGUUUAAUUCGAAGCAACGCGAAGAACCUUACCAAAUCUUGACAUCCUUUGAAAACUCUAGAGAUAGAGCCUUCCCCUUCGGGGGACAAAGUGACAGGUGGUGCAUGGUUGUCGUCAGCUCGUGUCGUGAGAUGUUGGGUUAAGUCCCGCAACGAGCGCAACCCUUAAGCUUAGUUGCCAUCAUUAAGUUGGGCACUCUAGGUUGACUGCCGGUGACAAACCGGAGGAAGGUGGGGAUGACGUCAAAUCAUCAUGCCCCUUAUGAUUUGGGCUACACACGUGCUACAAUGGACAAUACAAAGGGCAGCUAAACCGCGAGGUCAUGCAAAUCCCAUAAAGUUGUUCUCAGUUCGGAUUGUAGUCUGCAACUCGACUACAUGAAGCUGGAAUCGCUAGUAAUCGUAGAUCAGCAUGCUACGGUGAAUACGUUCCCGGGUCUUGUACACACCGCCCGUCACACCACGAGAGUUUGUAACACCCGAAGCCGGUGGAGUAACCAUUUAUGGAGCUAGCCGUCGAA